rnacentral:pre_miRNA from 1 species
AAUAAAUAUAAUUUUAUAUUGUUUGGGUUGAAUGUUUGACCGUUCGUCUUAUUUGAAAUUCAUAAAUAAUACUUUAUGUAUGACUAUUUUUAUUUUUUUUCAAAUAAGACGAAUGGAUAAAUGUUAGACACGGAUACUCAUGGCUGUACUUAUU